ensembl:lncRNA
AUGGGGUAUUAAAGAGGGGGUAUUUACUUCUAUGGGGUAUUAAAGAGGAGGUAUUUACUUCUAUGGGGUAUUAAAGAGGGGGUAUUUACUUCUAUGGGGUAUUAAAGAGGAGGUAUUUUACUUCUAUGGGGUAUUAAAGAGGGGGUAUUUACUUCUAUUGGGUAUUAAAGAGGGGGUAUUUACUUCUAUGGGGUAUUAAAGAGGGGGUAUUUACUUCUAUGGGGUAUUAAAGAGGAGGUAUUUACUUCUAUGGGGUAUUAAAGAGGGGGUAUUUACUUCUAUGGGGUAUUAAAGAGGGGGUAUUUACUUCUAUGGGGUAUUAAAGAGGGGGUAUUUACUUCUAUGGGGUAUUAACUGUAACACAUAACAGAU